rnacentral:rRNA from 1 species
GAUGAACGCUGGCGGCGUGCCUAAUACAUGCAAGUCGAGCGAACGGACGAGAAGCUUGCUUCUCUGAUGUUAGCGGCGGACGGGUGAGUAACACGUGGAUAACCUACCUAUAAGACUGGGAUAACUUCGGGAAACCGGAGCUAAUACCGGCUAAUAUUUUGAACCGCAUGGUUCAAAAGUGAAAGACGGUCUUGCUGUCACUUAUAGAUGGAUCCGCGCUGCAUUAGCUAGUUGGUAAGGUAACGGCUUACCAAGGCAACGAUGCAUAGCCGACCUGAGAGGGUGAUCGGCCACACUGGAACUGAGACACGGUCCAGACUCCUACGGGAGGCAGCAGUAGGGAAUCUUCCGCAAUGGGCGAAAGCCUGACGGAGCAACGCCGCGUGAGUGAUGAAGGUCUUCGGAUCGUAAAACUCUGUUAUUAGGGAAGAACAUAUGUGUAAGUAACUGUGCACAUCUUGACGGUACCUAAUCAGAAAGCCCCGGCUAACUACGUG